rnacentral:rRNA from 1 species
ACGGAGGGGGCUAGCGUUGUUCGGAAUUACUGGGCGUAAAGCGCGCGUAGGCGGUCGGCAUAGUUAGGUGUGAAAGCCCUGGGCUCAACCCAGGAACUGCACUUGAUACUGGUCGACUAGAGUUCGGAAGAGGAGAGUGGAAUUCCCAGUGUAGAGGUGAAAUUCGUAGAUAUUGGGAAGAACACCAGUGGCGAAGGCGGCUCUCUGGUCCGAUACUGACGCUGAGGCGCGAAAGCGUGGGGAGCAAACAGG